GUCCAUUAGGUGGCGGGAGUUUUCCUUUACGUUUGGUUUGCCAACUGCAUUAAAGACAAGAAGCGAAAGAAGAAGUGUAUUCCCUAUUUUUACUGAUUAUACCUGUAAAUACUGCAGUUAUUUCAUCCAGAGCUGAACUGACUCAGCCAUGAUUUAGGAUGAUUUAAGACAAACAACAUUAAGAACUGACCGCUUCAAGGAGGCCUGGAGCAAAUUGAACCGCUGAUUGAAUCCAAAGCCAAAGGACAUUAAAAGAAUCAAGACCCACUUGAGUUUGAUGGAGGGCAAAAGAGACAGAUGCAGCUGUACGUCCACGAGCUAAAGCACAUCAUCCUCAACAACAGGCAUCAGACUCUUCAGGCUAUGAGAGCGAGCUGUUGCUGGAAUUGCAUCAGCCAAUCGCAGAUGCUACAUCACUUCCAGGUGUUUUUACCUCUUAUUGACCACGGUCUGCUGGGAUGUCCUCUCUGUGUGGGCCUGCUUUCAUAAACACCAUUACACAUAACUUCUUUAUGCGUUUCCCUCGGCCUACCUUCAAUUACGGUUGCAGCCACUCUCGCCUUCAUGUUAAUUUGUGCGUUGAGACCUUUGAGCUUUGUGAUGAGCUGGUGUUAAUCACACAGCUCACACCACAACUGUGUCCACAGCCCCUCGGAGAUUGCCUCUGAUCAGAGCAAAAUGACUUGACAAGUCUGUGAUUCCAACAAUUCAAGACACCAGUUUGCCCGAGGACAAGGGCGCAGCCCCAAACAUCCCAUAAUUACCUUGGGGGAGAUGAAAAUGCAGAGAGAACAGGAAAUCUUGAGGCAGAAAUACACAGAACACUCAAUCCUACAUCUUACCGGUUGCUGCUGGGGCAUUACGGCAGGAGUGUAAUGGAGGACUUGUUUGCAAAUGCAAAUUAAAAUUAAAUAGAAGGGAAAGGAAAGGAGGCCAACUUUGAUUUGGUGUUUGUUUUCCCACUCAACUGACCCAAACCUCUUCCUCCCAGGGCCAUGAUUAAUUUGUGGCUGGCCCUGCUGUACAUGGGGGCCCAAUCAGUGGAUGAUAGGCCUUUGAUUGGAUGCAGGUUCUCAGCUCUCACAUGCUAUUAGGAAUCACAGGUCUGGCUGUCUGCUCAGUAAACAUGGCCAUACCUCAGAUGAAGACUGACUCAACAGCAGAACAGAUGGUGAGAUCCUGCAGGAGCUGUUGGGUGUACACAGAGCCGAGACUUCACCUCCUGAAUGAAUGAGGAGACAAAAACAGAUGAGGGUUAUACAAAGAGCUCUUCAGUAUAAAAAAGUAAAAUCUGUUUUUACUCUGAUGGCACCCAUUCGCUGCGGAGGAUCCAUUGCUGAGCAAGUAAUGUAAUGCUACAUUUCUCCAAAUCUGUUCCAACUGAAACAAACUCUACAUCCUGGGUGGCCUGGGGGAUAUAAUAUUUUUGAUCAAAUUUUGGGUAAACUAUUUCUUUAAUAAACCCUAAUACAUAUUAUCUUGCAGAAAGGUUUGUGUGAUUAAUUGAUUAAUUUUAUGUGUAGAAAAUAUAAUUAGCUUAGCAUUAAAGCAAUGGAAGUAAAUGGAAAGUCCGCUGUUACUGAAAACCAAAUGUGGUUGUGCUCGGAUGUGUGACACAGGUUGAUGGCAUUUCUAAAAUACUCAUGUGAAUUAGCAAACAGAGAAAUCGAGGCCAGCAAGGAUGGGGAGCAGGUUUGUUUUGCAGGAGCAGGCCUUUGUAAUUGCUUUGUUUAUUGCCUCUUGGCUGUGUGCGAUGGCACAUAUGAAAUAUUACCAGGAUGAUGAUACGUCUCAGUCUAAUUCAAAAUUAUGACAGCUUAAAGUGUGGCAGAAAACAGGAAGGGGGGAGUUGGCUGGCUUUGCUGUCAUACAUAACACAACUUUGAGUAGAUCCUGACCUUCAGGCCCACAGGUACAGCUAACAAGAUUUUAAAAUGAUGACCUUCCAUAAUAAAUGAUUUGCCUGAACCUCAGCCAUGCGCGGUGGUGACACUAUUAGUGUUUAAAAUGAUGGCAACUUGAGUUGUGCUGUGAAAACUAAUUACAGAUGGGUAAUUGUUUUAUUUGUCUUGAUGUUCGCGUGUGAGUAAUGGCCG
ensembl:lncRNA